AGAGUUUGAUCAUGGCUCAGGACGAACGCUGGCGGCGUGCUUAACACAUGCAAGUCGAGCGGAAAGGCCCCUUCGGGGGUACUCGAGCGGCGAACGGGUGAGUAACACGUGAGCAACCUGCCCCUGACUCUGGGAUAAGCCCGGGAAACUGGGUCUAAUACCGGAUAUGACCACUCCAGGCAUCUGGUGGUGGUGGAAAGUUUUUCGGUUGGGGAUGGGCUCGCGGCCUAUCAGCUUGUUGGUGGGGUGAUGGCCUACCAAGGCGACGACGGGUAACCGACCUGAGAGGGCGACCGGUCACACUGGGACUGAGACACGGCCCUGACUCCUACGGGAGGCAGCAGUGGGGAAUAUUGCGCAAUGGGCGGAAGCCUGACGCAGCGACGCCGCGUGGGGGAUGACGGCCUUCGGGUUGUAAACCCCUUUCAGCAGGGACGAAGCUAACGUGACGGUACCUGCAGAAGAAGCGCCGGCUAACUACGUGCCAGCAGCCGCGGUAAUACGUAGGGCGCAAGCGUUGUCCGGAAUUAUUGGGCGUAAAGAGCUCGUAGGCGGUUUGUCGCGUCUGUCGUGAAAGCCCACGGCUUAACCGUGGGUCUGCGGUGGAUACGGGCAGACUAGAGGCAGGUAGGGGAGAAUGGAAUUCCCGGUGUAGCGGUGAAAUGCGCAGAUAUCGGGAGGAACACCGGUGGCGAAGGCGGUUCUCUGGGCCUGUACUGACGCUGAGGAGCGAAAGCGUGGGGAGCGAACAGGAUUAGAUACCCUGGUAGUCCACGCCGUAAACGUUGGGCGCUAGGUGUGGGGUUCUUCCACGGAUUCCGCGCCGUAGCUAACGCAUUAAGCGCCCCGCCUGGGGAGUACGGCCGCAAGGCUAAAACUCAAAGGAAUUGACGG
rnacentral:rRNA from 1 species